CCUACGGGGGGCAGCAGUGAGGAAUAUUGGUCAAUGGGCGAGAGCCUGAACCAGCCAAGUAGCGUGCAGGAUGACGGCCCUAUGGGUUGUAAACUGCUUUUUAAGGUGAAUAAAGAGGGGCACGUGUGCCCUGUUGCAUGUAGCCUUAGAAUAAGGACCGGCUAAUUCCGUGCCAGCAGCCGCGGUAAUACGGAAGGUCCGGGUGUUAUCCGGAUUUAUUGGGUUUAAAGGGAGCGUAGGCCGCAGGUUAAGUGUGUUGUGAAAAGCAGUCGCCCAACGUCUGCCUUGCAGCGCAAACUGUCCUGCUUGAGUGCGCACAACGCAGGCGGAAUUCGUCGUGUAGCGGUGAAAUGCUUAGAUAUGACGAAGAACUCCGAUUGCGAAGGCAGCUUGCGGGAGCGCAACUGACGC
rnacentral:rRNA from 1 species